rnacentral:rRNA from 1 species
UACAGAGGUCUCAAGCGUUGUUCGGAUUCAUUGGGCGUAAAGGGUGCGUAGGCGGCCAACUAAGUCGGAUGUGAAAUCCCCAGGCUUAACCUGGGAACUGCAUCCGAUACUGGUAGGCUUGAAUUCGGGAGAGGGAUGCGGAAUUCCAGGUGUAGCGGUGAAAUGCGUAGAUAUCUGGAGGAACACCGGUGGCGAAGGCGGCAUCCUGGACCGACAUUGACGCUGAGGCGCGAAAGCGUGGGGGAGCAAACAGG